rnacentral:snRNA from 1 species
AUAUUUACCUGGCAGGGGAGAUACCAUGAUCACAAAGAUAGUUUUCCCAGGGCAAGUCUUAUCCAUUGCACUCUGGAUGUGCUGACCCCUGUGAUUUUGCCAAAUGUGGGAAACUUCAACUUGGCAUUAUUUCGGAAUAGGGAUUUUUGGUUUGCACUUCCCCC